AACAGAUAGAAAGGAGAACUGAAGGAGAAGUCUAGAGAGGCCAGCUACACCUACAUUAGAAAGAGCAGAACAGAUCAUGGGUCACAGGAUUAAGGCUAGAUGGGGUUUGAGAUGUGGGAAGACUUGAGGUCAUUUUGAGUUUUGAGAAAAGGAGAGAUAUGAAGAGGCAUAAAACGUGUUUACUGGACCCAGCUACUUUGCAGUGAUUAGUGGGACCUUCAGAACAUAAAUAGAUCCUAAAGAGUGAAUGCUUGUACCCCUUCCAAAAUUUAUAGGCUGAAGCCUUUAUUUCUAAUAUGGCUGUAUGUAAAGACAGACCCACUAAUGAAGUAAUUAAGGUUAAAUGAAGUCAUAAGAGAGAGGCCCUAAUCCUGUAAGAUUAGUGUCCUUGUAAGAAGAGACUCCAGAGAACUCACUUUCUCAAUCUCUCCCUCCCUUUCCUCGCAUACAAACCAAGGGAAAAUCAUAUGAGAACAUAGCAAGAAGGUAGCUGUCUGCAAGCCAGGAAGAGAGGCCUCAGCAGGAAAUGAAUCAGCAAGAACCUUGAUCUUGGACUUCUAGCCUCCAGAAUUAAAUCCAUCCUGGAAUUUGGCACAUGUAUGGGAUAUGGAUAGAAAAUAAGAGCAAAGAGGAAUUCAAGAUAAUGAAGCAAUAUAAACAAAAGUUGAAAAGAGAAAAUGAGCAUGCAGUGCCUAGAGAUGCCAAGGAAUCCAGAUCACCGAGGUCGGAUAGAUGUGUCUUCCCAGAAUUUGAUGAGGGUAACCAGGUAGAGCCAGAUGGUAGAGAUCCUUGAAUACCAGGCAAUGGAGUUCAUCUCUCCACCUGUAAGCAUUAAGGAGCCAUGGGAGAUUUUGCAAAGGGAAUGACCAAAAAGAAAAUGGCAUUUAGGAAAUGAGUUUGCCAGAAGUACCUGGGAGAAAUGGGGACUAGGCACUGAGAAUGUAAUUCAUAGCACAGCAGAGCAGAUACUAAAAGAUCGUUUUGGAAGCAGAAGGGCUGGUAUCCAGCUUUUCUGAGGUUGUUUCACUGUGGGUAACUGCUAAGGCCUUCACCCUUGAUGCCAGAGGUGCUGAAACACAUUGCCAUAUGGCGAAAGAAGUGCCCUAUUGGCCCAACCACAUUGAAUAAACAUCUACCUCAAACCUUU